rnacentral:rRNA from 1 species
CUAAGGCCGAUGGCGACCGGCGCACGGGUGAGUAACACGUAUCCAACCUGCCGAUAACUCUGGAAUAGCCUUUCGAAAGAAAGAUUAAUACCGGAUAGUAUACGAAUAUCGCAUGAUAUUUUUAUUAAAGAAUUUCGGUUAUCGAUGGGGAUGCGUUCCAUUAGUUUGUUGGCGGGGUAACGGCCCACCAAGACUACGAUGGAUAGGGGUUCUGAGAGGAAGGUCCCCCACAUUGGAACUGAGACACGGUCCAAACUCCUACGGGAGGCAGCAUG